GAUGAACGCUGGCGGCGUGCUUAACACAUGCAAGUCGAACGAUGAAGCCCAGCUUGCUGGGUGGAUUAGUGGCGAACGGGUGAGUAACACGUGAGUAACCUGCCCUUAACUCUGGGAUAAGCCUGGGAAACUGGGUCUAAUACCGGAUAGGAGCGUCCACCGCAUGGUGGGUGUUGGAAAGAUUUAUCGGUUUUGGAUGGACUCGCGGCCUAUCAGCUUGUUGGUGAGGUAAUGGCUCACCAAGGCGACGACAGGUAGCCGGCCUGAGAGGGUGACCGGCCACACUGGGACUGAGACACGGCCCAGACUCCUACGGGAGGCAGCAGUGGGGAAUAUUGCACAAUGGGCGAAAGCCUGAUGCAGCGACGCCGCGUGAGGGAUGACGGCCUUCGGGUUGUAAACCUCUUUCAGUAGGGAAGAAGCGAAAGUGACGGUACCUGCAGAAGAAGCACCGGCUAACUACGUG
rnacentral:rRNA from 1 species